rnacentral:rRNA from 1 species
AAUCAACGCUGGCGGCGUGCCUCAGACAUGCAAGUCGAACGAGAAAGUUUCCUUCGGGAGAUGAGUAAAGUGGCGCACGGGUGAGUAACACGUAGGUAAUCUACCUUCGGGUGGGGAAUAACCCAGGGAAACUUGGGCUAACACCGCAUAAUGCAGCGGCACCACAUGGUGACAGUUGUUAAAGCGGGGGAUUUUAGGACCUCGCGCCUGAAGAGGAGCCUGCGGCGGAUUAGCUAGNGGUAAGGUAACGGCUUACCAAGGCGACGAUCCGUAACCGGCCUGAGAGGGCGGUCGGUCACAC